GGUGAGGCGGAAGUGUCUCCAACAACUUCCGCUUUGUAGCCGCCUCCUGCAGACAGAGAAAUGACGGCGACUCUGCGUCCGUAUCUCAAUGCCGUGCGAGCGACUCUGCAGGCUGCUCUCUGCCUGGAAAACUUCUCCUCUCAGGUGGUGGAGCGCCACAAUAAACCUGAGGUGGAAGUGAGGAGCAGUAAGGAGCUGCUCCUUCAGCCGGUCGUCGUCAGCCGCAACGACAAGGAGAAGGUUCUGAUCGAAGGCUCCAUCAACUCAGUCAGAGUCAGCAUCGCUGUCAAGCAGGCGGAUGAGAUCGAGAAGAUUCUGUGCCACAAGUUCAUGCGCUUCAUGAUGAUGAGAGCAGAAAACUUCUUCAUCCUGAGGAGGAAACCUGUGGAGGGCUACGACAUCAGUUUCCUCAUCACGAACUUCCACACGGAGCAGAUGUACAAGCACAAACUUGUGGAUUUCGUCAUCCACUUCAUGGAGGAGAUCGACAAGGAGAUUAGCGAAAUGAAGCUGUCAGUCAACGCCAGAGCUCGGAUCGUGGCAGAGGAGUUCCUGAAAAACUUCUGAGCCAGUCAAGAACCUGGAGAAUAUUCCGACUCCGGACCGGGACGUCUCUGCUGACGACGCCCGGCGGAGCGGCAAACAUGAUUGGACCAGAAGCGGACUCCCGUCCGUGUGCUGCAACAACGCUCUGACAAUGAGGACACUGUUUCAUGAAGCCUCAUGAACACAUCACCACCGUUGGCUGUGAAGUGUAAAACCACGGCUCUCUCCUACUUCAGUCCAGCUCAUGAUCUUCUGUGUGGCUGUGGGGACCAGGUCUUGGAAACACACCUCCUUAGGUCGGUCCACACAAGUUUAAGCUUCGAUUUGAGGGAUACAACUUAAACAAAACAGGGUGAUCAUAACUGAACUUAGUUUUGGUUUAGGGUGAAAUGUGUGUGUGUUUGAUCUUCUCGCGUGAUGCGACAUUGUUCAUAUUCAAUUCUAUUUCCUCACGACAAUGUAACACUGUUGCUGCAGAUAGUUUGAGGCGCGAGACACUGGAUAACCUGAUUUAUUGACACUUGUCAAAGGCAACUUUACAACGUCAGGACAAGUUACCUCACAAAGUUACAUGACACCUUGUCAUCAAGUCACAACAGACACCAGGAAGCAGAAAAGCCGAUGGAGCUGGUCAACUGUUCCACCCCUUCGACUUUGGAAGUCAGUAUUUUCAAAAAAGUUUUCUUUCCUCCCCAAGUAACCAGAUGUGUACAGACGAAACGCUCAAAAAAUAAAUACCCAACAAACAUAUUUUCAUGAAAUUCACAGGUGAGUAAGGGAACGUUUGUACACGAGAGCGCAGGAUAAAAAAAUAUGUUGAUUUCCUUUUAAGCUGGAACUAGGAUGGGAAAACAGUACAUUCACAUGGAAGCGCACGAAGACAAAAGUGCUUUGCAGUUAAGUGAGUUGACAGUGAGAUUGUCCAGACAGGAAGUGACAUCAGAAGUGGUCCGGCACCGUCUGCAGGGCGUCUUCAGUGCUGCGCUGGACGUGCACGUUCUGGAACCAAAGCAGAGAGAAGGAAGCUCAGAAGCGGCCGUUUUCAGGCAAAACCUUCAUCCGAGCUGCAAUGAGAGCUUUGACUGUCAGAGGAAGGUGUGUGUUCCGGUCCCUCUGAUAAAAGAGAGAUUCAAGGACAGUGUAAGUGUCUGACAACAAUCUCCUGACAAAUAUUUGAGACCCACGCCACUCUCAUUAGAAAUGGAGUUUACCGACCAAUAAAGGAAGGUUUAUUUUAGCUCGCUGGUUAAAUUUGGGUCCUCGAGCAGGUGCAUAUUAAACUGGCGUGAAGAACAAAGGAAGGUUCUUGAGUCUCAAGGCGCAAAGCUACUGGCGACUGAAUGGAUGAUGUAGUUCCCUCAAUAGGGUCCUGGCUAGCUGGGAGAGAGGCGGCGGACACCCUGGUCAGGACCAGCACUCACCGCCAGAAUUUUUCAAAAGUCAUCAUGUCACUGGCACUAUGGGGCCGUAACAUUACGACCACUUGUCAAAACUGCAGUACUUGAAUGGAACCUGCAGGGGUCAGUGUCCAGUGAAGGAAGUCAGGUCCAUGUUUGCAUGACACUGACCACUGCCGUGGGAGACUGCAGCACUGAGAAGGCGGAGCUUCACCGCGACUCGAGCUCAUCGUGCAACAGAGAGUCGGCACGGGCUAUAAAUAACAUAGGUUCUCAAAGAACAGUUUCUUGGGAGACUUGGGUUCGGUAGAGUUUUAUUGCCGUCUUCAGCUGCACGUUCAGCUGUUCUUCAUGUAAACAAUCAGCGAGGUCACUUUGGUUUGCAAUACAAAUGGAAAACUUCACAUCUACACCAUUGUACAACACGACAUCUAUUUCACUCGACACACUCCUGAGAACAUGGGUCUUCACUUCCUGACUCACUGAAACUUUAGAGACUUGUUACUGUCACGUGUUACUGUCACGUGUUCCCGUCACUCCGUCCUGGGAAUGACAGAAAAAGAGCUGGGUGGACAGAAAGUGGCGGCACAUUUCUCAGCCGGUCACCUCUCCUCUGACUGAAAGACAAAAUGAGGUGGGUGGUCAUGGAGCCUGCAGGGGGAGAGAUGGAGGAGGGGGCGGGGUCACAGAGGGCCCCCUUGACUGGCGGGACAUUUGACAACGCCGACUGUGUCUGACUGGUGUGAACACGUGUGCGACGGCGACACCUACCCCGGGUCUGUCCCUGUGGGUGUUGACUGCAUCCACGCCCAGGUAGACCGACUCCACUUUGCAGCCUGAGACAAGACACAUCACACACUGGUCAACGACUUCACAGCUCCAACAUCUUCAUGGGAUUUAACCUCUGUCGUCAUGGCAUCUGUUUUUGCCUGGGUGCUUGUACAGCAUCUGCUCACAUGAGCUGAAACACCAGGGAGCAAGUGCUGCAGCCAUGAGCCAACUCUCGGCUGCAUUUUUGUGUUUCUCUCCUUAAAUGUUCCGGCAUGGAUGUUCUCAUUAUGACAUCACACUGUAUAAUGUGGUGCACCUGGAAUUGUUGGCUGGAAAAAGCCCCUGUGAUCGGUUCUGUUCGUGUCCUGAAUGAAACCCUGAGGGGGGCUGAUGUCCUCACUGGACGCCCUGAAUGUCCCAUGCUCAGUGCCUGUACCACGCCCCACCCGCGGCAUCAUCACACUGGCCUCCAUGAAAGGAGUGUUUCCGCCCUUUUGUAGCCGUAGCACGGCCGCCAUCUUUGUUUACUGGCAGGUCACCACACUCGCCGCAUGGCAAAUAGUUUAACAGGGAUGAAAAUUCAGGUGGUUCUAUUUGUUUAAUGACGAGGCAAGGCUUCAUAUGAGUGUGAAUGUGUGAGAGUUUAGACAACAGACGCGCAGCUGAUACAACUGUUGCUUAUCUUGUGUGACUAGAUGAAAGAAGAUGAACAAAACUGGCUUGUGGUAAGGUAAAGAACCAUGAUAAAAAUGUGUGUUUUCUUCUUAUUGAAUCAGGGUCAGCUGAGUGAAACAGCUGCCCAGGAGACUCCUGCAUCUGAAAGUGUGGCAGCAGCUUCAUCUCCGUUUACCAUUAUUGUUUUGUGCUUGUUUUUUUCACAAAGCAAGUUGUUAAGUUAGUUGUUGACAUGGCCUGUCGGGGGGCGGGGCUUCGGACAUCCCGUUUCAAAGUCCUAGCUGGAAGUGUAAAACAAGCCAGGCAUCUAUUGAGAGUCACUGGAGGGAAAGUUUUAGCUUCUGAAAGAAGCAACAGUCAGAGGCCUCAGAAGUGACGUCUUGUUUCAGGACACCUUUCUCCACAUGCUGUUCUGUUGGUUGGCAUGAAGUCCUGCUGAAGUGUCUGUGGCACAUCACCAGAGGGCGGUCUGAACUCACCGUACGCCAGCGGCGUCAGCUUCAACACGGUGUGCAGCGGGCACUUGAGAUAAGGCAACUCAUCUGGGGAGGCAGCAGAGCAGAUGUUUUCAGAUGAGCUUGAGCGCACAAAUGCUAACAUCAUUCACUUGUAUCAUAACAAGCAACAACAACAAUCAUUUAUCCACACCACACAUGAUAGAAGAAUCCUCUGCAGCUACACAGCUUCAGACGCAACACCCCGGAACACGUGUCUGUGACCCUCAUGUUUGUCCGGAGGCCCUCACCGGGUUUUCAUCACCGUGCAGUGUUUCUCACCCGCGGUCUUGUCGAGGAAGUAGGCGAGGAGGCAGCGCAUCACAGCCUGGUGACACACCACCAGAACGUUCUCUUGUCUCUCCAGCUCCAUGAUGACCGGCUCCAGUCUCUGCACCAGGUCUUCGUAGGACUGGAAAACAGGCACAGUCACACACAACUGCAGCAGACCUUCACCAGGUGCAAGUCCCACCUCUCCUUUGGGGUAUCGGUAUCUGUACUUGUCUUGGUCUCGCAGGGCGAACUCCAGAGGGUAGUGCUCCUGGAUCUCCUCGUACAUCAUCUCCUCACACACGCCCUUGGUGAGGAGCAGAGAGAGGCCUUCAGCACGGACAGAACCUGAGAGGAGAUCAAGUGUUGCCACUCACGGCGUCUAUUUCGUUGAGAGCCUUCCACUGCUCGUACGGCACUCCCAGGCACUCGGCCGUCUGGAUGGUUCGCUGCAUCUGGCUGGUCCACACCUUCAGGUCCUUGAUGUUCUGGUCCUGGAUGUACAUCCUCAGGCAUUUGGCGUACUGACGGAAGUCAUGAAUGAAACACUUCCUUUAGCACCACAACACACAAGUCACCGAAAUGCUAACUCCAGGUGAAGUUAAAAAAAAAAAAGUUAUUUUUAUUUGGAAUGCUGAAGAAAAGAUGCAAUGUCAAUCCCUCAACAGUAACUGUCUAUAUUCAGAACAAAUAUUGUACAAUAGCGCUGCCCCCCCUCCCCCACCCACCAGGGCAGUGUGACUGUGUGGCUAACUGCAGCCUUAAAACUGGAUACAAAAGUGAACUUUGGAUGUUGAGUUUUGGUCAUAGCCAUGACAAGUUUACUGAGCACACAGGCAAUAAACUACAUGCUGCAGGCUGCACAGAGAAAAACGUUAAUUUAUCAGAGUUUGCAUGCAGUAAGCAGCUCACUCAGAGCUCUGUGGACAUUUUUAAAAUCCCUGACGCACGCUUGUUGUUCACAGGCCAUCUGGGGCUCUUUACGCAACAGCUAGUGCUACAGUUGGACUCUUUCAACCUGGCAACCCAACAGAGCUGUAGGGGCUUUGGGAAUCAUCCACUUCACCUGGACUUCACCUGUCUGGUUGAACUUUUUAACUCAUCGACUGGGGCACGUGUGAUGCCAGACCUCAGGGUCAGCCACAGAAGCUUGCAAAUAAUGAUAUAAAAAAAGUAGGAUACAAAUAAUAAUAAAUAAAAUCGAACGAAAAAUAGAGAGAGUUAGACGAUGUGGCUUAUUAAUAUGGAUGCAACAAUGACGUGACAUCACUAAGAAAAUGGCUGCGGGUCCCACCGACGCACCUCUUUGCCCCGUGCCGAGAGCCCGGCGUCGCCACCGAUGCGGCCCUUGAUGUUCAGGUCACUUUCACCGUGGCGCGACAGGUAGAUGGAGCGGGGGGUGAUGUGGAUGUUCAUCAGGUAGUACACGAUGCGACUCUGGAUGUGGUCCAGCACCCUGUUGACCAGGUAACGGCGCCCCACGUCCAUGAUCUUGAUGUAGGACAGGUCUCUGAACAGCAGAAACAGCAGAGGAUGAGUCCAGUAGGCGGGAGGCGCUCAGCAGUUGAGUGGUGCUUCACCUGUCCAGGACUUCAUCCAGAGGCUGGUAGGACGACUCGUAACACUUGAUUCUCUUCAUGAAGUCUUCAAUGGCCUCAUCUGUGUUGCAGUGGAUGUAGUCAGGGCUGCCCAACUUCACUUGCUGACGUGCAGAAGAAAAGAAAAAAAAAAGAUUAGUCUACUAAAGUCAUUUAUUUGGCUUCAAAUGACGUGAAGGAGAAACGUACAACAAUGUUCUGCGCGAUGACAUCUGGGUCCUCGCACACCGACUCCACGAAAAACACCUAGAUCGGUGAAAAACAGCUGAUGAAGUCAGCGGCCGAGGCCUUUCAUUAAGUCCCGUCUCCACUCCCAGACCUUGAAGCCAUUUUGUUCCGCAAACUUGACGAUGGUUCCUCUUCGUUCUCGUGUGGUAUUUGUGGCAUCAAAGACCUAAGAACAACAGCACUUGGCUCACGUGUGUUUAUUGAUCAGACCAUCCCAACUUCAAACUCACCGCCACCUGUCCUCCUUCCACACUCAGGUACUGCCGAACGUCGUUCAGAGCCGCGGUGGCACAGUGACUGCGGAGGGUGGACAGUGUUUGUUCGUCAGUCACGUUCUUCAGUUUGGCAAAAACAUCAACCGUCUGGUUAUGACAUCACAGGCACGUGACUC